rnacentral:lncRNA from 1 species
GGGAGAAAUGGGAGGGUAACGGGAGAGGCAACCAAGAGUGGCAUUUCCAGGCUGCAUUCCCUGGGUACUGCCCCAUGAUGCCAAUUGAGAUUCCACGUGCUGGCUUCUGACUAUACAGGUGCUGGUUGGACAGGCCCAGGCUGCUGCCAGCACUCUGGAGGCCAAUGGCUGGUCAUGACUGAUGAUGGCUGGUCAUGGCGGAUGCCACAUCCUGUUUCCUUUUGAACCUGAGCAAGGCCCCUGCCCCCACUGCAGUUUGCCCAGUCCUUAGCACCUCAGCUCUGGCACAGAGUAGGUCAAGGAUGGGCGCCUUUUUUCUGUCUUUAAAUUCAAAGUUGACACCUCUGAGAAACUGGAGAUUGGAUCUGCCUGGUGCUCUGCUGUCCGACCGCUCCUUUCUGGAUUUUAGUUUUGGCACCAGGAGCACCUGUUCGCUUUCCCUUGCCUUCCCACGUUGACUCGUCAGCACAAUAGGCCCACAACUUUAGCCUUGCCUUUUUAGUCUGUUUUAAACUGUCUUAAAGGAGCGCGUGUGAAAUAAACAUUGACAGGCUUUCUGGAGCCCUCAAGGUGCCUACUUUGCUGGUCCCCUUUCCAGCAGCUCCCCCUCCCCACCCACCCCUGCAGUGGGAGCCUAGAUGAGCUCCUCCACGUGUUCCACCCCCUCACCCUGCUGUUGUUUACAUUCAGCCUGCCUAAGAAUUUCCUCUGGGGAGGAAUCUGUUCCUGCUGUGGUCUGGUGCUGGCAGAGAACCUGCUGGGGGUGGGGUGCUGUUCAUAGAGACAGGCUAGGUGAGCACCACGCCCCCAGCCUCCAUCUUGUCUAGCCAUAUUCUAGCUGGGCCUUGGGCACAUCCAACCUCCGUGAAGUUGGCCUGUGGAUUCUAUCAUUGGAUGGUCUCCAUGGAACCACUGUAGGGUUUUCCCUUCCCCACAGCUCCCCCUGAAAUAGCUGCUGCUCUAAGUCCCUCCGAUGUAAAGCUUCGUAAAGUCCCAGGUUGGCAGGGGCAAACCGCACAGUGAGGACCUGAGGAGGCUGAGAGUAGGCCUGGGGCGUCCUGGGCUCCUGUGCAUUCAGCAUCCGUCUCUCUGGAAUCCUUGCCCUCCCUGGAAGCCAGCCCUGACUGAGCAGAGGUGUGAUCGUUCUCGAGAACCUGUUGGCACACUGACAUGCAUAGAUGUAGAAUCUUAAGCCAUUGUAGGGUGGGUCAUCUCUAAUCACGGGUCCCCGGAUGGAUAACUUGACCUGAGGCUUUAGUGUUUCCCAUGGUGAUAAACCCCAGAGCAGCUGGAGCUGGAGCUGGUGGCAAAUCAAAGCUAUUAAAAGUUGAUUUGUGUGUC